GUUUUCUCUUUGGCAGCACAUAAAUUAAAAUUGGAAUGAUACAGAGAAGAUUAGCAUGGCCCCUGCGCAAGGAUGAUGUGCAAAUUCAUAAAGUGUUCCAUAUUUUU
rfam:Sus scrofa chromosome 17.